rnacentral:rRNA from 1 species
UACGGGGGGAGCAAGCGUUGUUCGGAUUUACUGGGCGUAAAGGGCGCGUAGGCGGCCAGCACAAGUCAGUUGUGAAAUCUCCGAGCUUAACUCGGAAAGGUCAACUGAUACUGUGCGGCUAGAGUGCGGAAGGGGCAACUGGAAUUCUUGGUGUAGCGGUGAAAUUCGUAGAUAUCAAGCGGAACACCGGUGGCGAAGGCGGCCUUCUGGACAGUGACUGACGCUGAGACGCGAAAGCGUGGGGAGCAAACAGG